AGGAUCAGGAUCAGGCCAUGAACCUGGCAACCCUAGUUCUGGAGCUGCACCGGCAUUCUGGGAACAGAUUAUAAACACCAUCUUAAGAGAGACAUUCUCCUUUCUCUCACACAUAGGAGGAGUGCCUCUUUGGAGAUGCUAUUUUAGGCCCGGACAAGACAAGACAGAAGAGUGGAUAACUCAUCCGUCUGAAAUUUAUUAUCUGAAAUACAGAAACAACCUGCCCUGGUACUCCAGCAUGGAGGCCUAUCCAAUUAUCUGCAGCCAUCAGGAGUGUGCCAGGUUAAAAAUCCAAAAGUAAAUAAACAGGAUUGAUCUGCCUGACACUAAAAAAAGCAAUUUGAAGAUUUACAGAGACUGAAUUUACACAGUAUCUCCAAGGAAGAAAGAAGCAGUACUCACUCCUGCCUUCUGGUGGUUAAUUCUUCAAAACCAAGGGAACCCCACAAGCCUUAAUGAUGUAGCUAAUUCCACGUCAUUAUACAGAUGCAUCAAAUUUAAUGACUGCACAGAUAAAACCAAUUUUCCGUUGCAAGGAUAUGUGAACUGACUGCUUGUCCCACCAACAACUCCAAGUUAAUCUCCCCCGCACUUCUAAUAAGUUUGAUUUUGUCAAGAAGGGGCAUGACUGGCGGUCAUGAAAUCAAUGAUAUUAUUUUGAAAACACAACUGCAGAACAGACCCUGAAGCAAGAAAAGAGGCUUCAAGGCACAACACAAAAGGCAAUUUCCCAUCAUGCCUGGAAAAGA